rnacentral:rRNA from 1 species
GGACCCGCACAAGUAGUGGAGCAUGUGGUUUAAUUCGAAGAUACGCGCAGAACCUUACCAACACUUGACAUGUUCGUCGCGACUUUAAGAGAUUAAAGUUUUCGGUUCGGCCGGACGAAACACAGGUGCUGCAUGGCUGUCGUCAGCUCGUGUCGUGAGAUGUUGGGUUAAGUCCCGCAACGAGCGCAACCCUCACUUUUAGUUGCCAUCAUUUAGUUGGGCACUCUGAAAGAACUGCCAGUGAUAAGCUGGAGGAAGGUGGGGAUGACGUCAAGUCCUCAUGGCCCUUACGUGUUGGGCUACACACGUGCUACAAUGGCAUCUACAAUAGGAAGCAAGAUGGCGACAUCAAGCAAAUCCUAAAAAGAUGCCUCAGUUCGGAUUGCACUCUGCAACUCGAGUGCAUGAAGCUGGAAUUACUAGUAAUCGC